rnacentral:rRNA from 1 species
UACGUAGGGUGCGAGCGUUAAUCGGAAUUACUGGGCGUAAAGGGCUCGUAGGCGGCCAACUAAGUCACACGUGAAAUCCCUCGGCUCAACCGGGGAACUGCGUGUGAGACUGGAUGGCUUGAGUUUGGGAGAGGAAUGCGGAAUUCCAGGUGUAGCGGUGAAAUGCGUAGAUAUCUGGAGGAACACCGGUGGCGAAGGCGGCAUUCUGGACCAACACUGACGCUGAGGUGCGAAAGCGUGGGGAGCAAACAGG